AUUAAAGUAAAGUAGAAACAUUUAUCAGACUCAGAGCAGCUGAGUGACAGAGUGUCAGUGCUGGAUGUGAGGAUGAGGUACACUUUGAUCUGUGUGCUGGGAUUAUUCUUGCUGAAUACACUCUUCUACGGACACUCUGAAGCAAAUAAACCCAAGCCCACACUGACAGCAGAUGAAACCAUCAUACCAGUAUGGGGCAGAGUGACACUGACCUGCUUUG